UACGUAGGGUCCGAGCGUUGUCCGGAAUUACUGGGCGUAAAGAGCUCGUAGGUGGUUUGUCGCGUUGUUCGUGAAAACUCACAGCUCAACUGUGGGCGUGCGGGCGAUACGGGCAGACUUGAGGGCUUCAGAGGGACACGGAAUUCCGGGUGGAGUGGUGAAAAUGCGUAGAGAUCCGGAGGAACACCAAAGGCGAAGGCAGUGUCCUGGGGAGUACCUGACGCUCAGGUGCGAAAGCCAGGGGAGCGAACGGG
rnacentral:rRNA from 1 species